GGCUCCGCUGUAGCAGUGUGCUGUAGCAAACGGAACUGUAAGUCGUUGAUUUUGUGCUAAGUCCUUGCGAUUAAACAAGGAAAAAUGGUGCUGCUAGA
rnacentral:sRNA from 1 species